rnacentral:lncRNA from 10 species
UUGAAAUAGGUAACAUAUUCCCUACAUCAUUUUUUCAAGGGCCACAAAAAUUGAUGUGUGAUUAUAAGACAUAAUAUAAACUACAAAUUCUAACAUUUUGAGACAUUUUAAUUUUCAGUAAAUUUCAUACUUUAAAAUAGCAAAUAACAUUAAAUCAUAAGUAGGUGAAAGGAGAAAGUAUUGUUAUUUUUAUUGAGUAAAUUUGGGAAAUUUCUCAUUAAUGAUUAUUAAAUUUAAAGGAAUUUUCAACAGUUACUGGACUUAUUCUUUUGAUUGCGUGCUCAAUACAGAGGAUAUUUUCUUUUCAGUGUAAGCAGAUGACUUCUCCAGCAUGCUCCACCUCUGUGUGUGAACAUGUGUCAAACACAGAGAAUAAGGGCUUGGAUCGGAAUCCCAAAGAGAACAAAAACUCCAAUGCAGGACAAAAUAUACACUCACACACAUCCUGCAUGGGUACAUAACAUUAGAGAAUGCUAUUCCUGCUUAAAAUGUAACAUUAGUUGUUGCAAUUUCCCCAGAAUACAAAAUUGGUUCCACUUAUAUGUAAAGCCCAUAUGCAUCAUCUAUAUUGAACAUACUUUAGAAUUUCACAAUAGUUAUUUUUCAAGAUAAUUUAAAUCAAAUCACAGUACUAUUAUGAUAUUGAGUUUAAAAAUUUAAAUGUUAGUUGACCUUUCAAAAUCUACAUUUAAUUCUAUGUUUAAGUGGUAGCGAUUUAUAAUAAAAAUGAGCAGAAUGAAAAAUUGACUAUUGUUUUCAUAUCAAAUUUAUAUUUUGAUACGUGAUUUAGGCCAUCAUAUAUACAUAUAUGCAUAUACGCACAUACAUACACAUACACUUCUUAAAAUAGCCAAUUAUAGAAUGUAAAGUAACUGUUGAUUUUAUGAGACAGCCUACCUCUUACCUGGUAAUACUCAACCUUUUAAAAGUACACCUGAAAACGUAUGAUUUCCUGUUUCUGCAUCUUGGCUUAUUUUGAAUAUAUGAAAAACUUUUAAUUAAUUAGGGUUUUUUGUUUCCAUUAUCUUAAUUGAAACUUUUGGUUAUAAUAAAUUCUCAGAGAAAUUAAUCUUUCUAAAUUUACCUUUCUAAAAUUUACCUUUCUAAAUAAAUAAUUUACCUUUCUAAAAUUAUAAAUAGCAAAAACGCAUAUUAGAUACUAAUAAUUAUAUUUUCUGUUUUGGGGAUUUGUAUUGUUACUCAGGUAAUUCUAACUUUCAAUAUGAUAAUAACCCUAAAAAUCAUUAGCAGCAGGGAUUACUCUCCAAAAUUAAAUAUUCCAUCUAAAAAUUUAUAAGUAAUAUGAUAUUUUUAAAUAUCUACAAGAAAAUUUCCCUUGGAAAAUGUCCACAGGAUGUGAAAGUAUUUUUUUGGAAAUGGAAUUGUCAUAUAUAGUUCAAAACCAUCAGGGUCAUGAUUCAUACAUGUAUCUUAAUUAUCCCUGUUUGCUGAUAUUCGUAACCACUAAUUUGAAAUUUUCCUCCAGCCUGACAUUAAAACCUUAUACAUUUUUUUCUGUAAAAUAAAAGUAACUUUUUUUUUACAAGAGGAAGCAAAUAAUAUCUGCUUGGAGCACUGAAUUAUCUUUCUGAAGUUUGGAUUCAUAUUUGUAAGAGGACAAUCAGGCCUUUACAGGUCAUAAAUAUAAUGCUGUCCUCUACUUCAUCCAGCCUCCACUCCUGUCCAAGGUCUAUCUUUGCCUAGUUAACAUAGAGUGAGAAAGAGGACCUUUUACUCAUAACCCCUUUGAGAAGCCACUUUAACAUCAAUUCUUCAAGCCAUAGGCCUUUUUAUUUACUGCCACUCCACAGUGAUCCCAGACCUUGACACUCCUAGAGGCAACCAAUUUAAUGAGAUGUUGGCUACUCAGCAGAUAGUGGAAAACCAGUUGAUAGAGAAUUAUCUAUAUUUCCCCUGUACUCAGUUGUUUCAAUCCUUGCUUUGCUUUUCAAAGAGAAUUACCAAAAAGAGGAGAAAGCUUAAAGUUGACAUCUAAUGAAAGAAGACAUUUUGCAUUUUGUAACCUCCAAAAAGGAGGUUACAAACCAGCCAUUAUGAGAUACAGCUGAUCUGAAAAAUGUGCUGUUACUUUGAUAUAAUUUACAGGAAAAACCAGAUUUCCACUAUUUUUGUAAAAUAAUUAUCAGAGAGCACUCGGCUGGUAGAUGUGUGUGGGUGGCAACAUUAGGCUAGAGCUGAAUGAUGGAUUCCUCCUGUUAUGGACUGAAUGCUUAAUGUUCUCCCUGAAAUUCAUACUUUGAAGCCCUAACUCCCAUUGAAACGGUAUUUGGAUGUGAAGCCUUUGGGAGAUAAUUAGGUUAAGAUGAGGUCAUGAGUGUAGACCACUCAGGAUGGAAUAAUGUACUUUUAAGAACAGAGUAACAGAAAGAUCUGUCUCUCUUUCUUCCUCUCUCUUCAUGUGAUUGCCCUGAGAAAAGGCCACAUGAGGACACAGCAAGAAGGUUGCUGCCUACAAGCCAGGAAAUGGGCCCUCACCAGGAAAUGAAUCUUCCACCAGCUUGGACCUUAAUCUUGGACUUCCCAGUCUCCAGAACUGGUGAAGUAAUUUCUUGAAAAAUAUUUUCCAUGUUUCUCUGUUCCUCAUCUUCUGCCAAUGUGCUGGCAACAUGAUUCCUUAAGUCUCUCACAACACUUGCAAUGAUGGCUAUGAACCCAGCCAAGCAGAGGAAGGCAGCUUCUUCAGAAGCUUAAAAUAAAUUUUGUCUCAUAAAAUAAUAAAGGAAUGGGACACACAAUUCACUUAUAGCCUUUGCCUUUAGAGAAAGGCAUAUUCUUUGGUGUGAGGUGAAGAAUCAAAUCGACAUUAUAUUAUCUCUGUGUAAAUCAAUCAUAUGACAGCAGUGAUUAAGAAACUUGAAUAUAAGAACACUUUAUAUAAAUAAAAUAAAGAAUUACUGACUCCAAAUUCAGCUGAGCUGCAUUUCUAAACCCUUUCAUGGUGCAAACAAAAUCUUUAAGCAUUUGAUUCUUAGCCUCUCUCCUCAUUCUUCUAGGAGGAUUCCAGCUGUGAUUUGUCAGAUUUUAUGACAUUAAUAUCAGAUCUGGACUGACUGUACUAAUUAUUCUCCUGAAAGAUGCCAAGCUUUGAUCAUGCAAUAACAAUAUUUUGCUCCCAUUGAAAUGAUUUUAAAAACUGAUUCCAUCAUACUGUUUCUUUUGCUUAUUGUUUGUGUGUAGUAGAAAAUGGGGUUUGUUUUGGUACAAUUUUGGGAUGCAUGACAAAUGCUCCUUUGAACAGUGUAUAAACAUGCAUAGACCAUAGAGGGAUUAACUGUUGAAGACUCAAAGUCUGUUACUCUUGGCUUCUUGGUCUUUUCAAAUUUGUGUGGUACAAGGAGCCUCCAGCUACCUUUAUUUUGUUGCUACUACUACUGCCGAAUACAGCAAAACUAAGACACAUUGCUUUGAGUUAUGUCCUAGUAGUUUGUGUUAGUGUUAUAACUUAGUUUCUCUAUUCAGUUCAUUCUCAUAGCUCUGUGGAUAUCUUGAUGUUUUCCAUAUUAAUCAUGGUCAUAAAUAUCCUAUAGAAAAUAAUUAUGUACAAUAGUUAUUGCUCUGUAAUUAUGAAACAGUUUCAUUCCAUGGCUAAGUUUUUUUUUUUUUUGUAAACAGUCCUUGAAAUUUAAUUAUAUGUUAAUCACUCUGAUAAAACAGUUAACAGACGAAAUACUUUUGAGGUUAAGUGCAACCAACUCAUAUUAAACAGUGAUGUCUUACUCUCACGCUUUCCCUGAACUUCCACAUCAGUUAACAAACCUGGUUGUUUAUCAAACUUAAUGCAAUCGUGCUUCUCAAUUUUAAUGUUUGUACAAAAUACUUGGGGAUCUUACUAAAAUGCAAAUUCUGUUUUAGAAGGGCUAGGGUGUGACCUGAAAUUCUAAUUUUCAAACAGUGAUACUCAUGCUGCCUUUUCAAGGUCUAGAUUCUACGCUUAUUAAACUGAGACCAGCAAAACAAAACAAACGAACAAAAAACCAGUAUCUGUAAUACGGUAAUUUGUUUCUGACACUUUUCGAAUAUCCUACAAUACUGUAAUAAAUACCUUUAUGCAUC